rnacentral:rRNA from 1 species
CCUACGGGUGGCUGCAGUGAGGAAUAUUGGUCAAUGGCCGGAAGGCUGAACCAGCCAUGCCGCGUGAAGGUCAGUGCCCUAUGGGCGUUAAACUUCUUUUGUGCGGGAGCAAUAAUGGUCACGUGUGGCCAGACGAGAGUACCGUACGAAUAAGCAUCGGCUAACUCCGUGCCAGCAGCCGCGGUAAUACGGGGGAUGCAAGCGUUAUCCGGGUUUAUUGGGUUUAAAGGGUGCGUAGGCUGGGAGGUAAGUCAGCGGUGAAAUGCCCCCGCGCAACGGUGUGAAGUGCCAUUGAUACUGCCUGGCUGGAAUGCGGAUGACGUGGGAGGAAUGUGUGGUGUAGCGGUGAAAUGCAUAGAUAUCACACAGAACACCGAUUGCGAAGGCAUCUCACGAAUCCGCGAUUGACGCUGAUGCACGAAAGCGUGGGUAUCAAACAGGAUUAGAUACCCGAGUAGUC